rnacentral:misc_RNA from 1 species
CAUGCGCAUUCUCGUCUGCGGAGGGCGUCACUUCGAGGACGCCGAGAAAGUCCAUCGUGAGCUCGUCCGGCUGCAUUGGCAAAGGCGCAUCACGGUUCUCAUUCACGGCAGCCNCGGCAUCGCGGCCGAAGAGUGGGCGCGUCGCAACGACGUCGCCGUCGUGCGCUAUCCGCCCAAUUGGGAGCUGUAUGGCAAGAAGGCCGAGGGGCGGCGCAACGAUUUUAUGCUUGAGGA